UGAAGAUGUGCAGUCCUGGUCUGACUGGACUCAUCUAGCCGGAGAAACACAAAUGCACCAAACGGAAAACCUGACUGGACAAAGGUUGGGUAAAACUCAGAUCCUUUCCCAUUUCCAGUAAGGAUUAAAGAGGAAGUGGAUUAUUGUCUUGUGGUUUGGAAGGUGCACAGCUGUGGUGGCGGGUCUGAUGAAUUGUCUCAGCUUACCCAGGACCAAAGGGGAGCUCCCUGGACAUGGAACUCUCAGUGCUAAGGAAAGUCCUGAACAAGCUUUUUAUUAUGGCCUGUGAAAGCAGUAGAAGAUGGCCCAAGUCCUUGGGCUCUGCACUUGUGUGGGAAGACUUGGAGGAAGCUCCUGGCUCCUGGCUUCGGAUUGGCGCAGCUCCAGCUGUUGCUGCCAAUUGGGGAGUGAACCAGCAGAUGGAAGACCCUUCUCUUUCUCUUUGCCUCUCCUUUUCUCUCUGUGUA